AGUAAUGUGUGUAGCUAACCGAUACUAAUAGCUCGAUUGAUUUACUUUGCUGUGAGAUUACAUAUGCAUAUAGUGUUAAUGCUAUAAGAGUGUAGUAUCAACUCACAAAGUUAUCAGGUUAAAUAGCUUUAUCAACUAAUAAAAAUGUUAUUGCAUAACUAAUGUUAUACUGUAGCCCCGCCACGAUAUCCAGCGAAAAUUAUUUUGCUGAGUAUCGUAGUAAAAGUUAAGAUAUGAUGUUAAGAAUUUUUUUGAGUCGUGCAAUAACAUUAACAGCAA
rnacentral:rRNA from 1 species